rnacentral:ncRNA from 1 species
CCUAUACUCGCCCUCGUUGGUGCUCGUGCCGUUAUUGCAACGGCACAGUUAAACGGGAAUCAGGGGAGCGCGGCCCACCACGAGUCGCCCUUAACCUGAGCUGCCCCCGCAACGGUAAGCGAGAGAAGGCUGCAUGCCUUCAGCCUGCGUCACAUGUCCACUGGGUUCCGAGAGCCUGGGAAGGAUUCGCAGGAACAUCUCGCCAGCCCGGAGACCGGCCGACAAGCGGGUGAGCCA